UGAUCCCUGUCCCCUCCUUGCCUUUAUAGCUUUGGUUCUGGCAGGCGCCUGGCCCCCAGCUCUCUGCUGAACUACCCCCCCGGAGCUCCUUAACCUUUCAGCCCUUUUGUCCAGUGGUGAUAUAUUUCAGGGUGAGCUCAGCAAGACCCCUUCCUCUAAAGAAAAAAGACACAAAGGUGUUUACUGAGUGUCUGGGAAGACGAAUGUGAGUGGAGCUGCUGCUGGCCAGGACCUGGAGGUGUCUGUUAGGGUCAGAAACAGGGUGAGACUUCAAGACACGUCCUGAAGAAAGGUACUGAAGGUAUUGCAUUGUGCAGUGGUACUGAACACUCUCCUCUUAGAGUGCUGUUAAUGUUAUUUCUUUAACCAGUGCGAGCAUGAACUACAGCUCAUCUGGUGAUAGUCACACUGCUCUCUGCAGGAAUUGUCACAAAUUCAGCUGCAUGACAACACGGGCUCUAGUUUUUAAUAUUUACAUGUUGAUGAGCCAUUUAGCCUGGGAGCACAGAGUCUUGCUGCGGUGGAUGUGUGAAUUCCAGCACUAACUCUGUGGGAUCUGUGGCAGUGACAGGGGCAUGGGUCUAAAUACAUGUGGGCACACAACAUAACAUGCACGCUGGUUGUCCUGAGUCAUUAUUCAACGUACACCAUCUGGAGGGCUGGGCUGAGUUUCCAGAGGAACCAGCACAGAAAAGAGCUCAUCGAGGCUGGACUUGCACUUUCUCAAGCUCGGGCGCACAAUGGCAGUGGGACGCCGAGGAGCAGACUCUUACCUCCUAAAUCUUCUGGCCAUUAGUUCCCCCCCUUUGUUUACCUCUCCCAUUUUACUGUAGUUUCUCACCAGCUGAACAAGGCAAUGAGGUCACUGUUUGGAGACCAGAGUGCAGAAGUCAGCCUGGGUGUGAAGACAGAAACUAAUCAGGAAAGUUUGUUGAGGGAGAAAAGGGGAGGACUGUACCCCAGUACCGGAGCAGUAGUGGUUGUGCUAGGUGAGUUUAAUACCUUCAGUACCGUUCUUCAGUAUCCUUGCACAAAGCAGUUGGGACAAAACUUGACAGGCAGUGUUCUGCUGUCUGUUAUUUAUUUGCCUUUUUUUUAAAAAAAAAAGAAAAUGAGUCUUUUGCAGAGGUAGCAAAAGUCACAGUUCAGUUAUUUGCCCUGCCUUACUUUUCUCCUUCCUUCCCUCCCUUCUCUGCAAGCAUUUUUCACCUGUAGAUGCAGAUUUGUGGGACCCUUUCUUCUCUGCCCAAGGAGCCAGAGAGUAUUACAAACCAUUUUGCAUCAACCCUGUGAAAAGUGAGUGUGGGGCUUGAGUCUGAAGCACUGAAGCCAGAAGCAGGAGAGAUUUUGCACAGGUAGGGUGACGUGUGUGGGCAUAUCCAAGUAUAUUGACUCCACCAUUGCAGCAGGGAAAACGUGUGAAAGUUUCAGAGGGGUGGGAAAAAGGGGAGGGAGGGUGUGAAGCAGACAUGUGUUCAUCCCACGUGAAAGAUGUCUCUGAAAAUGUUGUCCUCUACUACCUGAUCACAUUCUACCAUCUUGAAGCAGCUGAGUCAGUCUGUCAGUGUUCAUGCUGCUUGCAAGAUGGCCACAGCCAGAAAAAUCUCAGUUUGAAUGCACAGAUUCCAGGAGUCAACUGUUUCCUGAGUGAAAGGUAAGAAAAAAACAACAAUGAUGCUUUGGUUUUGAUACAAAAUGUGGUGGUGGCUUGGUCUGGCAUCCCUUGAAUGUGGUAGCUCCCAUGCUGCAAGAAGAAUGCCAGAAAUGCAUUUGCAAUUGCUGUAAAUUCCAGCCCAGCUGCACGCAAACUGAGCGCUGCAGGGAUGGAUGGGCUCUGAGCUCUCAAGUGACUGGUCCCCUUCUUGGGUCCAGCAAAAGCUGGGCCUGGCAGGAGGGAAGGAGUCACUGCUAUCCCAUACCAAGCAAGAAACUUAAAGAAACCGUAGAAAAUUUAAAUAUUUUUUUUUCAAAUUCUUGCAAAUUUGCAAAGCCUGGGUGAAUUGCAGGUACUCCUCGACUCAGGUGCACUGAAGCUGCAGCCGCUUUGUCCCAGAUCCUUGCUGGGAGUGCAGCGUAACUGAAUAGUUGCUCUGUCACGUCCUGGCAAUGACUGUGAAGCAAAAAGGCUCUGGCAGACGACGAGUCCCUGAUUGCCCCAGUUUUCUGUCUCAAAUAGGUUAUUGUCCUUCUUUCCUCUCUGGUGCUAACAAGUUUCUUCUGUAAAAACCCUUCCCCCUCUGAUGCUGGGACGCUGAUUCUAGAGCUUGCAAGACCACCAGAAACGAGGUCUCCUGCUGAAUCACAAUCAGUCUUUUAUAAACAGAAUCGCUCAAAGGGAAAGGAGCAGGGCAAACAGAGAGCAGGAGGACUAGGAACUGGGUGAAGCGCUCUGGGAACACCCGUUGGCCCGCGGUGGUACAAAGGGCUGAUGGUUGCUGUGGGCUCCAGCAAUAUUUGUGUCGUUCCAGUAGCACGACGGGCACAAGUCUGGAGCCGCCAUGCACUGGAGCCCCUCAGGGAACGCAGACUCCACUGCUGUUGGUACUGACUCAUCCCACACGCAGUACAGGCUGUCUCCUUCAGCAGCGACUCAUGGUCAUCAUGGCAACCACAAGCAGAGCUGCUUGUGAGCAGAACGGCAGCGACGGGCUGCUUAAGGUAGCUGUCUCUGUGUAAUUUUUCAAACCUCUUCCAUCCACAGGACUUUUGUCCAUGAUACAGAAUUGCUGAUUCCUCCAGUGCCAGGAGAGGCUGGUGAGGAGAGGGGGAUGCUCCACCUGAACAACCUGCAGACAGGGACCAACAGAAACUCCCUAUUGCUGAAAUACCACUCUCACUUGGACAGGGAGUGCAGUGCCCGUGGAAGAGCAAAGGACAGACUGCAAAGCAGCCAAGGAUCCACUGUGCCAGCCCAGUCACUGACUGCCAAACCUUUGCACUGUAUUAGGGAGUUGCUUUCCUGAAGGAAGUUUAUCUGCUUGUAAUGGAAAAGGGCAGUGCGUAGCCUGAAGGUAAGCCAAUACUUAGACACGAAUUUAUGGCCAGCUUGCUACCUCCAUUCACACUGGGAUCUCCCUCAAUGAAGUAUUGCCACACAUUGUAUCAUUCUCGUAGGUACAGAAGGUUUACUAUGCACACUUGUAAUGCCUUGAGCUUAGGCAGGAAUCCAUAGAGGCUGUUUUUUCUUUUGUUCCCAUCUGUGAGUGACGUACAGGGGCUGUGGGUGGUGGUGGAAGCAUUGUGUACGGUACGCAUGACUUGUAUUUGCUGUUGAAUGCAGAGCUGCUGCCUCCGUUUCUUGUAGUCUUCACUGAAUAUUAACGUGGGGGGAGUGGGACAGUAUUGCUGUAGCUUUCUGAUCUUUGUAGUUCAUGCAAUUGUCCUGUCCGUACAGGUGUGCUGGAUGGGUGAGGGGAUUGGAUUAGUAUUUGGCAAUAUUACGCAGUAGUAGCUGCAAGGGGGCACAUCCCAUCCCUCUGGUGAGUCAGGGGACGUAGUCCACAGGAGCCAUCUCCAUGAAUAACGCUGACACGACACCCCAUGGGUCCCUUGUUUCUACAAACUGCUAAUGUGCCCUGUGUCCAGUCAGGUAUUGGCAUAAAAAACAUUCCCAGGACACUGCAAAACCGUGCACGUUCUGCCACUACUUCUACACAGCGAUCAAAAAAAUAAACUAUUGCAGUCUUUUGUCACUAUUUACACAGCCAGACCAGAGGAGAACUGAGCAACAGGCUCUGUUUGCUGGUAAACUGAGGAUAUGACAACAACUGCAGGAAGAGGUAGGUCCUCAGAGAAAGGACAGGGAAGAUCUGAAGGAACCUGCGGACCAGUCUGAUUCCUGUCCAGCCAGUCACUAGCCUAAGAAACAUCUGCUUUCUAGGCAACUGACAGGAGAAGAGAUGUCUGCAAAGGAAAAAAAUAGCAAAGCUGAAAGCCCAGAGAGGAAACCCUGGUUUUGCCUACACAAUUGCAUGCUUGCAGCUCUUCUACCCAGUGAUCAGCUGGGUGGUCCUUCAGACAUGAAGACUGGAGAGCCCUGCAUGCCUCAGACUCUGUUCAGGAGAAAACGUGUUAUAUGCUGAUGGCUUAAGUAGUAAUCACAGUCACUGUUGUGGGACAGCUGCUAUGAUAUAAUUAAAACAGUGUGUUUGUCUAAGA